rnacentral:rRNA from 1 species
UACGUAGGUGGCAAGCGUUGUCCGGAAUUAUUGGGCGUAAAGCGCGCGCAGGCGGUUCUCUAAGUCUGAUGUGAAAGCCCACGGCUCAACCGUGGAGGGUCAUUGGAAACUGGGGAACUUGAGUACAGAAGAGGAAAGCGGAAUUCCACGUGUAGCGGUGAAAUGCGUAGAGAUGUGGAGGAACACCAGUGGCGAAGGCGGCUUUCUGGUCUGUAACUGACGCUGAGGCGCGAAAGCGUGGGGAGCAAACAGG